AUUGGUCAUGAUUAGACCCACCCACUGACUUAGAGAGAGCAAGAGGCCCUUUGAAUGCUGCCUGACCGAUGUCUGGGAUGUCUGAGGCGACUCUGGGGAUGUUACGUAGAGCUUUACCACCUGGACCACAGCUUUACCAACGUGGGCACAAACGACAGUGAGUGACCUAUUCCCCACCUGAAGGCGCUGAGCUGGGGAGCUAAGAGAACGCCCAGACCAGCCCGCCGCCUCUCACCGCGUGCACCUCCAAAGUAGAUGAGAGUCCAGUUCAGCAACUUCCUGAUGCAGUGAAAGUUUAUCAGACAAAGUUCAAAUAGCAAUGAUUUUGUCAAUUGGCAUUUCAAGAUGCAAUUUCUUUGCUCAAUUUGAAAAAGCAUUUUGCAUUUGGCAAUUUUGUGUUCAUUUAAUACCAAAUUUCAUUAUUAAGUUUAAAUAUUAACUUGAUCAAUUGUAUUUCAUUUAUAACUACGGUUUUAUAUUAAAUUUACCAGAAUUAACAUUACAGAAUUUCUGCGGCUGCUCUGUUUCUUCCCAGAUGUACUUCAGUGACGGAUGAUCAAGUUUCAUUUGUCUUUGUUAUGGUUCCUGGGGCCGUUUUGUAUUUCCUGCUUUAUUUUGUUAGCUUCCUGUCUUUGUGUUUUUGUUCCGGGGUCGCUUCUGGUCACAUGACCCCGCAGCUAGUUUCUAUCAUGUAAUCAAUCAAGGUAUAAAGGCUCUGGCACUCACCUCAUACCUCUGCCAGAUUGUUGCGUGAUUUCCACCACAUUCCAGCAUACCUUUGAUUGUCUACUUAGCUCGAGAUCGUGUUUCUGUCCCUGACUUCUGCCUGUGCCCUACCUGUACCUUUGCCUUGAACGCUGGUAAUGUAUCUGAUUGUCUGACCCUGAGAAACCCUGCUCCUUACCUGGUACCUUUGCCGUGUCGAAGUGUUAUCGAACCCCUGUCUGUCCCUGGACCCGAUUGAGCCUGUUCCUCCUGUACUUACUGUACCAUUCGAGAUUUUUCUGUGUAUGACCUGGACCGUCUGUACUACAGUAAUCAUUGUGGAAUAAAGACUAAGCAUUCUA